AGUAUUUAAAUGGGGUAGGACAUGGCCGCGGUUUCCUAAUCUGCUGCUUCCCGGAAGCAAGGUGCGCACCGAUCAGGGGGAGCUCGCUUGGGAAGAUUGUUUGUCCUCUUGCCAUGCUCACCGGUUCGUUUGUUUGAGAGCUAGACAGAAGACGGGCCGCGAUCAGCUGGGGAAGAAAAAAGACGCACUGUUUGGAAAAUGAUCCAGUGGGUUCACGCAUUACUGCUACUAGCCGCUGUUUGUUUUACUUUAGUUGUUUAGUUUGUUUUGUUUAUUUGCGCUCUGCUCAAGGGUUGUAUGUGUCAGUACGUAUGGUUAUUCUUUUUUUUGUUUUGCUCAGCUAGUCGGCUGCGCAGGUAGAGGAGGGGGCUACUUUCAUUUAUUUCUUUGUUUCUUGUUUUGUGUUUUAUGUCCGUUUGUUCUGGCUGUCCUAUUCAGUCAUCUAGCAGGCCUUGUAGUAUUUAUGGGCACUCAUCUAUAACGAGUGGUGUGGGGCUUUGCCCGUGGACUAUAUAGUAGCCUAUUUGCUGUGUAUUCUUGUGGUGGAGUUUGUAUUGUAUUGAAUGAUAUGCAGUGUUUUAACACUUGAAUUGCAGUGUACAAUUGAAUCACGUUCUCAACUGUGUCUUACUCGAGCGCUCUGGGAUAACUAUAGGCUGCGCUAGAGACUGUGAUGAUUGCAGCCACUAGGUGGUGUACGUCUAUUUAUAGUCUGUCUUAUUGUGUAAGUGUGUGUCAUUUUACCUUAACAGAAGAAAGAAAAUUAACUUUACAAAUAUUUAUAAAUAAAAAGAUGUUUCGUUUGUAAUCAGUGGUAGUGCUGUUUUCUGCUUCAGAGUUCCCCUAGCUCUAGGUAUAACUUAAGGGGUGGCGUAGUCACCGUCUCCCCAUAGGGAGGGUGUUACAAUUGGCGUAGUCGGCAGGAUCAAACUUGAUUAAUUCAUUUU